rnacentral:rRNA from 1 species
UACGUAGGGUGCAAGCGUUGUCCGGAAUUAUUGGGCGUAAAGAGCUCGUAGGCGGUCUGUCGCGUCUGCUGUGAAAACUCGGGGCUUAACCCCGGGCCUGCAGUGGGUACGGGCAGACUAGAGUGCGGUAGGGGAGACUGGAAUUCCUGGUGUAGCGGUGAAAUGCGCAGAUAUCAGGAGGAACACCGGUGGCGAAGGCGGCCCCCUGGUUGGAUACUGACGCUGAGACGCGAAAGCGUGGGGAGCAAACAGG